AUUGAACGCUGGCGGCAGGCCUAACACAUGCAAGUCGAGCGGAUGAGUGGAGCUUGCUCCAUGAUUCAGCGGCGGACGGGUGAGUAAUGCCUAGGAAUCUGCCUGGUAGUGGGGGACAACGUUUCGAAAGGAACGCUAAUACCGCAUACGUCCUACGGGAGAAAGCAGGGGACCUUCGGGCCUUGCGCUAUCAGAUGAGCCUAGGUCGGAUUAGCUAGUAGGUGAGGUAAUGGCUCACCUAGGCGACGAUCCGUAACUGGUCUGAGAGGAUGAUCAGUCACACUGGAACUGAGACACGGUCCAGACUCCUACGGGAGGCAGCAGUGGGGAAUAUUGGACAAUGGGCGAAAGCCUGAUCCAGCCAUGCCGCGUGUGUGAAGAAGGUCUUCGGAUUGUAAAGCACUUUAAGUUGGGAGGAAGGGGCAGUAAGUUAAUACCUUGCUGUUUUGACGUUACCAACAGAAUAAGCACCGGCUAACUUCGUGCCAGCAGCC
rnacentral:rRNA from 1 species